UACGAAGGCGGCAAGCGUUAUCCGGAAUUACUGGGCGUAAAGGGUGCGUAGGCGGGGAGGCAAGUCAGAUGUGAAAGCCCGGGGCUUAACCUCGGAGCGGCAGUUGAAACUGUCUUUCUUGAGUGUGGGAGAGGACAGUGGAAUUCCCAGUGUAGCGGUGAAAUGCGUAGAUAUUGGGAGGAACACCAGUGGCGAAGGCGGAUGUCUGGGCGAUAACUGACGCUGAGGCACGAAAGCGAGGGGAGCAAACGGG
rnacentral:rRNA from 1 species